AUGGGGACUGGAGGCCAGGGACUCUUGAAGGAUGCUGGUCCAGCUGGGCUUCCCCUGCUGCCAGGUCCCCUGCCCAUGGAGGCCAUUGAGAAGAUGGCCAGCCUGUGCAUGAGAGACCCGGAUGAGGAGGAGGAGGGCACGGACGAGGAGGACGUGGAGGCUGAUGACGACCUGCUGGCGGAACUGGAUGAGGUCCUCGGGGAGGAGCAGAAGGCUCUGGAGCCACGCCCUACCGUGGUCCAGGUAAGUGCCACUGGCCCUGCUCCCUACAGCCUGGGGUCCAGGCCCUCCCCUGCCCCUCGCAGCCGUGUGACCUUGGGCAGGGACAGGACAGCUGCACUGGGAACAGGUGUGCUAGGAAGGCAUCCAGGUAAGUCUUUCUGUGUCUCCACAGACCCAGGAAAUAGAAAUAAAGGAAAAUAUGAUCAAAUCCCUUUCCCGUGACCACACAAGAAUUCAAGUAAAUGUCAGGAAAAUUUCUAACAGUCAUCAUGUUUGAGAAGGGGCAGAUAUCUGCUCUGGAGGAUAAAGGAUUACUCCGCUUUGUACAGAAAUUGGGAAACUAGCAGAUUGAGAACUGGCUGAGUAUUGGUACAAACAUACAUGGGAACUUGUCAACAAGAAGACAGGUUGAAGUCCAAUGGACAUUUGGAUCUAAUCAUUUCGUGCAUGUAUUCUCAUUGCUUCCUAUAGAUAUAUUUGUGGUAAAACACCUGUUCUCCUUACCAAAGCAUUAGCUAAGGGACUUUAAGUACCUGACUGGCAUCACUGUGGAAUGAUGCUUGAUAUGUCACCUGGAUAUUGACGACAGAAGAUAUGUCUUCAAGAAGGAUAGGGAGACCAAGUUAGGCAAUGGGCUCCUGGCCAAGAAGGAUCAUCUCUGGAUGUAGCCUCAGGUGUGUUUCUUCCUGAUCAGGAAAGAGCUCUUGUAUGAUGAGGUUUUCACAGGCUGAAUCUUUACAGUCUCUAUAUCCUCAGGGAAUCAAAAUCCAAAGCUCCUCAUUAAACAAGUAUUUUUAGUUGUCAUUCUGAUCCCUGGACACUGAAAAUCCUUAAAGACCAAGAUUGCAGAAGAAAUUCGCGAUGGCUAAUCCCUGAUCCUGUGAGUCCAUGUGUACAGCAUUCAAUGUUCACCUCCAUUUUACAUGCUUUGCACAUAUGUACAUACACUCCUUUGUUAAUGAAAUCUAGGCUUCUUUUUCUCUUUUUAUUAUUUUAUUGGGGUUAUAUUGGCUUGCAAUAUUAUGUAAAUUUCAGGUGCACAUCACUAUACUUCAGUUUCUGUACAGACUGCAUCAUGUUCACCACCAAUGGUACAGUUUUUAUCUGUCACCCUAUGUAUGUGACUUUUUACCCCUUUCACCCUCCUCCCACCCCUUCUCUUAUGAUAACCAGGAAUCUAUUAUUAUCUAUGUGUUUGUUUAUCUUCCACGUAUGGGUGAGA
rnacentral:lncRNA from 1 species